rnacentral:rRNA from 1 species
AUACGGAGGAUCCGAGCGUUAUCCGGAUUUAUUGGGUUUAAAGGGUGCGCAGGCGGCCAUUUAAGUCAGCGGUUAAAUCGUGGGGCUCAACCCCAUUCUGCCGUUGAUACUGGGUGGCUUGAUUGCGGUCGAGGUUGGCGGAAUUAGUUGUGUAGCGGUGAAAUGCAUAGGUAUGACGAAGAACACCGAUUGCGUAGGCAGCUGACCAGACCGCAAAUGACGCUCAUGCACGAAAGUGCGGGGAUCGAACAGGAUUAGAUACCCUGGUAGUCCGCACAGUAAACGAUGAAUACUUGUUUUCGGCGAUAUAAUGUCGGAGGCAAAGCGAAAGCGAUAAGUAUUCCACCUGGGGAGUACGCCGGCAACGGUGAAACUCAAAGGAAUUGGCGGGG